AUUGAACGCUGGCGGCAGGCCUAACACAUGCAAGUCGAACGGUAACAGGAAGCAGCUUGCUGCUUCGCUGACGAGUGGCGGACGGGUGAGUAAUGUCUGGGAAACUGCCUGAUGGAGGGGGAUAACUACUGGAAACGGUAGCUAAUACCGCAUAACGUCGCAAGACCAAAGAGGGGGACCUUAGGGCCUCUUGCCAUUGGAUGUGCCCAGAUGGGAUUAGCUAGUAGGUGGGGUAACGGCUCACCUAGGCGACGAUCCCUAGCUGGUCUGAGAGGAUGACCAGCCACACUGGAACUGAGACACGGUCCAGACUCCUACGGGAGGCAGCAGUGGGGAAUAUUGCACAAUGGGCGCAAGCCUGAUGCAGCCAUGCCGCGUGUAUGAAGAAGGCCUUCGGGUUGUAAAGUACUUUCAGCGGGGAGGAAGGGAGUAAAGUUAAUACCUUUGCUCAUUGACGUUACCCGCAGAAGAAGCACCGGCUAACUCCGUGCCAGCAGCCGCGGUAAUACGGAGGGUGCAAGCGUUAAUCGGAAUUACUGGGCGUAAAGCGCACGCAGGCGGUUUGUUAAGUCAGAUGUGAAAUCCCCGGGCUCAACCUGGGAACUGCAUCUGAU
rnacentral:rRNA from 1 species